GGGAGUGUCGCCUAAUGGAUGGGCAUCGUUCGCGUUAGCGUCUCCGAAGGAGAAUCUUCUAAAUCGAUUUGUAGGGGUUCAAGUCCCUUCACUCCUG
rnacentral:tRNA from 1 species